ACGGGGGGACCUAAGGUGGCCAUGGUCCCCCCCAAAUUUUUUAAAAAAAAAUAGUAAAUAGUAAUAAUUAAUAAUAUUAAAUUUUUUUAUAUAUAAUAUUAAAAAAAAUAUAAGUUACAAAAUUUUAUAAAUUAAAAUAACUAAAAACUGCACUAUGUAUUGGAUAUUUGAAUUAUUGUUGCUCUUGUUAACAAAUAGUCCAUUCUAAUAAUUAAUAAAAAUGGUUCUAUUAUACUAGCCCAAGCCCAUACUAUUAAUUAAAGUAACCCUAGUACAUUUUUCAAAUAUUUGUUUCAAACCAUCAGAGGCAUCAGCGCCACUUUUCUCUCUCUUUUAGUGGUUCCCAAACUUUUGGUCUUCUACUCUUCUCAUUCUAAUUUUCCUUCCAUACUAAAACAAGACAUAUGAAGAAAAACCAUUGAAGAGAAGUGAACAGCAAAAUAUUAACCAUUGAAUGCACAACAAAGAUUCAAAGAGUGUUCAAAGAUUGAAGUGAGGACAAAACUCAAUAGAAUUAUUUUUUGGUGAGACUUGGAACAAAAAAAUAAUCAGCAACAACUGAACGGGCCUUUUCAGCUAUGAAGAUUAUUAAAACAAGGCUUCGAAACAAGAUGGAAGAUGAAUUUUUAGCAGAUUGUAUGAUUGUAUAUAUUGAAAAGGAAAUUGCUUCAAAAUUCACUUCAGAGAUGAUAAUUGAUGAUUUUAGUUCCAUGAAGCAUCGUCGAGCAAGUUUAAAAAUAUCAAAAUCUUAAAG